UACGUAGGGUGCGAGCGUUGUCCGGAAUUAUUGGGCGUAAAGAGCUCGUAGGCGGUUUGUUGCGUCUAUCGUGAAAACCUGCAGCUUAACUGUGGGCUUGCGGUGGAUACGGGCAGACUUGAGUUCGGUAGGGGAGACUGGAAUUCCUGGUGUAGCGGUGAAAUGCGCAGAUAUCAGGAGGAACACCGGUGGCGAAGGCGGGUCUCUGGGCCGAUACUGACGCUGAGGCGCGAAAGCGUGGGGAGCGAACAGG
rnacentral:rRNA from 1 species